UAUAUACGUUGUCUCUUAUUUUGUUUGACGAUGAAUUUAUUCAAUCCAUCUCUAUAAACACAUCAACGCCUAUCUUUCUGCCGAAAGGCAGCUCCAUCCACUCUGCAUCGAAUCGUAUGAAGGCGAUGUCUAAAGCCUGCUCCAAGGUAUAUAUCCUGGUGUCUUUGGCUUCUAUCUCAACCUUCAACUGUCCUAUCUGUAUCUCCCUCUGUUCCAACCUCCCUCGUAACUCUGCUAACUCCAUCUGUGUUCGGUGAGCAGCGUCCUUGUACUGCUGUUCCGAAAUCUGGAGAGUACGAUUCUGUGCCUCCGCCUGCUCAGCUCUAACCUUUAAGUCGUCGUUCCUAACUAUCAAAUCUCUUAUCAUCUCACUGUCUGUGUACUCCUCGCUAGAGUCCAUCGUCUCUUGGGUCAAGGAAUUACUAUUUUGACUUUCGUCAUCCAUCCUAUGACCACAAUAAACGAGACAACAUCAUUACUGAAAUAAAAUAUAUUCAUCAUUAAAAUGAAGUAAUAUUUUAUUUAGUACCACUAAAACUCGAUGAAUCUCUUCAACUCAUCAUAUCCUAUAACUUCUCACCAGAGUACUUCGUCUCCUGGUUCACUGAAUAUCUAUCUUAACUUUCAUCCUCCAUUCUACUAAGGUUAUAAUUCUUCACCAGAGUUCUUCGUCUACCGAAUAUCUAUCUUAACUUUCGUUAUCCAUUCUACUAAGGUUAUAACCUAGGUUUCG
rnacentral:lncRNA from 1 species